rnacentral:rRNA from 1 species
GUCCAGACUCCUACGGGAGGCAGCAGUGGGGAAUAUUGCACAAUGGGGGAAACCCUGAUGCAGCGACGCCGCGUGAGUGAAGAAGUAUUUCGGGAUGUAAAGCUCUCUCAGCAGGGAAGAAAAUGACGGUACCUGAUUAAGAAGCCCCGGCUAACUACGUGCCAGCAGCCGCGGUAAUACGUAGGGGGCAAGCGUUAUCCGGAUUUACUGGGUGUAAAGGGAGCGUAGACGGCAGCACAAGUCUGGAGUGAAAGGCCGGGGCUUACCCCCGAAACUGCUUUGGAAACUGGGCAGCUAGAGUGCAGGAGAGGUAAGUGGAAUUCCUAGUGUAGCGGUGAAAUGCGUAGAUAUUAGGAGGAACACCAGUGGCGAAGGCGGCUUACUGGACUGUAACUGACGUUGAGGCUCGAAAGCGUGGGGAGCAAACAGGAUUAGAUACCCCCGUAU